rnacentral:rRNA from 1 species
AUACGGAGGGUGCAAGCGUUGUUCGGAAUCACUGGGCGUAAAUGGCGCGCAGGCGGUUUGGUAAGUCAGAUGUGAAAGCCCACGGCUCAACCGUGGAAGUGCAUUUGAAACUGUCAGACUUGAGUACUAGAGGGGAAAGUGGAAUUCCCGGUGUAGAGGUGAAAUUCGUAGAUAUCGGGAGGAAUACCGGUGGCGAAGGCGACUUUCUGGCUAGAUACUGACGCUGAGGCGCGAAAGUGUGGGGAGCAAACAGGAUUAGAAACCCCUGUAGUCC